rnacentral:rRNA from 1 species
GACGAACGCUGGCGGCGUGCUUAACACAUGCAAGUCGAACGGAAAGGCCCUGCUCUUGUGGGGUGCUCGAGUGGCGAACGGGUGAGUAACACGUGAGUAACCUGCCCUUGACUUUGGGAUAACUUCAGGAAACUGGGGCUAAUACCCGAUAGGAGCUCCUGCUGCAUGGUGGGGGUUGGAAAGUUUCGGCGGUUGGGGAUGGACUCGCGGCUUAUCAGCUUGUUGGUGGGGUAGUGGCUUACCAAGGCUUUGACGGGUAGCCGGCAUGAGAGGGUGACCGGCCACAUGGGGACUGAGAGACGGCCCAGACUCCUACGGGAGGCAGCAGUGGGGAAUAUGGCACAAUGGGCGGAAGCCUGAUGCAGCAACGCCGCGUGCGGGAUGACGGGCUUCGGGGUGUAAACCGCUUUCGCCUGUGACGAAGCGUGAGUGACGGUAAUUGGUAAAGAAGCACCGGCUAACUACGUG